rnacentral:rRNA from 1 species
AGUGAACGCUGGCGGUAGGCCUAACACAUGCAAGUCGAACGGCAGCACAGUAAGAGCUUGCUCUUACGGGUGGCGAGUGGCGUACGGGUGAGGAAUACAUCGGAAUCUACUUUUUCGUGGGGGAUAACGUAGGGAAACUUACUCUAAUACCGCAUACGACCUACGGGUGAAAGCAGGGGAUCUUCGGACCUUGCGCGAUUGAAUGAGCCGAUGUCGGAUUAGCUAGUUGGCGGGGUAAAGGCCCACCAAGGCGACGAUCCGUAGCUGGUCUGAGAGGAUGAUCAGCCACACUGGAACUGAGACACGGUCCAGACUCCUACGGGAGGCAGCAGUGGGGAAUAUUGGACAAUGGGCGCAAGCCUGAUCCAGCCAUACCGCGUGGGUGAAGAAGGCCUUCGGGUUGUAAAGCCCUUUUGUUGGGAAAGAAAAGCAGCAGGUUAAUACCCCGCUGUUCUGACGGUACCCAAAGAAUAAGCACCGGCUAACUUCGUG